AGAUUGAGACCAAGUCGACUCACCUGAAACUUAGUCGACUUAGAUUGAUACUGAGUUGACCAACCUACAUACUGUGCCACAGCAUCUCGAGAUCCUACUUUCUAUUUUCUUGAGACAUAGUUGACCCAAACUAGAACUGAGUCAACCCACCUGCAAUUUAGUCGAUCCAGUCUCAGUCUGAGUCGACUAACCUACUGAAACUGCUUCUUCUCCUGCAGCUUCAUCUCUGGCUCUAAUUUUUUGCCCCACCUUAUGUUUCUAAGUAUCUAGAGCCCCAAUCAUGCCCCU
rnacentral:lncRNA from 1 species